UACGUAGGGGGCAAGCGUUGUCCGGAUUUAUUGGGCGUAAAGAGCGUGUAGGCGGCUUGGUAGGUCCGCUGUGAAAACUCGAGGCUCAACCUCGAGAUGUCGGCGGAAACCACUUGGCUAGAGUCCGGAAGAGGAGAGUGGAAUUCCUGGUGUAGCGGUGAAAUGCGCAGAUAUCAGGAAGAACACCGAUGGCGAAGGCAGUGGUCUGGGCCGAAACUGACGCUGAGGAGCGAAAGCGUGGGUAGCGAACAGG
rnacentral:rRNA from 1 species